rnacentral:rRNA from 1 species
AGAGUUUGAUCCUGGCUCAGAACGAACGCUGGCGGCGUGGAUAAGACAUGCAAGUCGAACGGGAUUACUUUUGUAGCAAUACAGAAGUAAUUCAGUGGCGAACGGGUGCGUAACACGUGGGCAAUCUGCCGAAAAGUGGGGGAUAGCUCGCCGAAAGGCGAAUUAAUACCGCAUGUGGUGAGGGACGACAUCUUCCUGAAUCCAAAGCCGGGGCAACCUGGCGCUUUCUGAGGAGCCCGCGGCCUAUCAGCUAGUUGGUGAGGUAACGGCUCACCAAGGCUAUGACGGGUAGCUGGUCUGAGAGGACGACCAGUCACACUGGAACUGAGACACGGUCCAGACACCUACGGGUGGCAGCAGUCGAGAAUUUUUCUCAAUGGGGGAAACCCUGAAGGAGCGACGCCGCGUGGAGGAUGAAGGCUUUCGGGUUGUAAACUCCUGUCAUUUGGGAACAAGGUGCACACGUUAACUGCGUGGGUAUUGAUAGUACCAGAAGAGGAAGGGACGGCUAACUCUGUGCCAGCAGCCGCGGUAAUACAGAGGUCCCAAGCGUUGUUCGGAUUCAUUGGGCGUAAAGGGUGCGUAGGUGGCGCCGUAAGUCGGGUGUGAAAUUUCGGAGCUUAACUCCGAAACUGCAUUCGAUACUGCGGUGCUUGAGGACUGGAGAGGAGACUGGAAUUCAUGGUGUAGCAGUGAAAUGCGUAGAGAUCAUGACGAAGACCAGUGGCGAAAGCGGGUCUCUGGACAGUUCCUGACACUGAGGCACGAAAGCCAGGGGAGCAAACGGGAUUAGAUACCCCGGUAGUCC